AAAUUGAAGAGUUUGAUCAUGGCUCAGAUUGAACGCUGGCGGCAGGCCUAACACAUGCAAGUCGAGCGGUAGCACAGAGAGCUUGCUCUCGGGUGACGAGCGGCGGACGGGUGAGUAAUGUCUGGGAAACUGCCUGAUGGAGGGGGAUAACUACUGGAAACGGUAGCUAAUACCGCAUAACGUCGCAAGACCAAAGUGGGGGACCUUCGGGCCUCAUGCCAUCAGAUGUGCCCAGAUGGGAUUAGCUAGUAGGUGGGGUAACGGCUCACCUAGGCGACGAUCCCUAGCUGGUCUGAGAGGAUGACCAGCCACACUGGAACUGAGACACGGUCCAGACUCCUACGGGAGGCAGCAGUGGGGAAUAUUGCACAAUGGGCGCAAGCCUGAUGCAGCCAUGCCGCGUGUGUGAAGAAGGCCUUCGGGUUGUAAAGCACUUUCAGCGGGGAGGAAGGCGAUAAGGUUAAUAACCUUGUCGAUUGACGUUACCCGCAGAAGAAGCACCGGCUAACUCCGUGCCAGCAGCCGCGGUAAUACGGAGGGUGCAAGCGUUAAUCGGAAUUACUGGGCGUAAAGCGCACGCAGGCGGUCUGUCAAGUCGGAUGUGAAAUCCCCGGGCUCAACCUGGGAACUGCAUUCGAAACUGGCAGGCUAGAGUCUUGUAGAGGGGGGUAGAAUUCCAGGUGUAGCGGUGAAAUGCGUAGAGAUCUGGAGGAAUACCGGUGGCGAAGGCGGCCCCCUGGACAAAGACUGACGCUCAGGUGCGAAAGCGUGGGGAGCAAACAGGAUUAGAUACCCUGGUAGUCCACGCCGUAAACGAUGUCGAUUUGGAGGUUGUGCCCUUGAGGCGUGGCUUCCGGAGCUAACGCGUUAAAUCGACCGCCUGGGGAGUACGGCCGCAAGGUUAAAACUCAAAUGAAUUGACGGGGCCCGCACAAGCGGUGGAGCAUGUGGUUUAAUUCGAUGCAACGCGAAGAACCUUACCUGGUCUUGACAUCCACAGAACUUUCCAGAGAUGGAUUGGUGCCUUCGGGAACUGUGAGACAGGUGCUGCAUGGCUGUCGUCAGCUCGUGUUGUGAAAUGUUGGGUUAAGUCCCGCAACGAGCGCAACCCUUAUCCUUUGUUGCCAGCGGUCCGGCCGGGAACUCAAAGGAGACUGCCAGUGAUAAACUGGAGGAAGGUGGGGAUGACGUCAAGUCAUCAUGGCCCUUACGACCAGGGCUACACACGUGCUACAAUGGCAUAUACAAAGAGAAGCGACCUCGCGAGAGCAAGCGGACCUCAUAAAGUAUGUCGUAGUCCGGAUUGGAGUCUGCAACUCGACUCCAUGAAGUCGGAAUCGCUAGUAAUCGUAGAUCAGAAUGCUACGGUGAAUACGUUCCCGGGCCUUGUACACACCGCCCGUCACACCAUGGGAGUGGGUUGCAAAAGAAGUAGGUAGCUUAACCUUCGGGAGGGCGCUUACCACUUUGUGAUUCAUGACUGGGGUGAAGUCGUAACAAGGUAACCGUAGGGGAACCUGCGGUUGGAUCACCUCCUUA
rnacentral:rRNA from 1 species